CGGGGCAUAGCGCAGUUCGGUAGCGCAUCGGUCUGGGGGACCGGGGGUCGUGGGUUCGAAUCCCGCUGCCCCGACCA
rnacentral:tRNA from 1 species